rnacentral:sRNA from 1 species
CAUUUUGUCCCAGUCAGUCCGGAGGCUGUGGUUGCAGAGGUGCCGCCUGCGGAGUAACUGCAAAGAUGCUGUCCGUGCGAGUUGCUGCGGCCGUGGUCCGCGCCCUCCCUCGGCGGGCCGGACUGGUCUCCAGAAAUGCUUUGGGUUCAUCUUUCAUUGCUGCAAGGAACUUCCAUGCCUCUAACACUCAUCUUCAGAAGACUGGUAAGUUAUUAUUUCUCAGUCUACACCGCCCUUACUAGAUGAAGAUAUAAAUUAUCACACUAGAUUAAGAUAUAAAUUAUAUACAUCAUGUAACUGUU